UACGUAGGCAGCGAGCGUUGUUCGGAGUUACUGGGCGUAAAGGGUGUGUAGGCGGUUGUUUAAGUUUGGUGUGAAAUCUCCCGGCUCAACUGGGAGGGUGCGCCGAAUACUGAAUGACUAGAGUGCGGGAGAGGAAAGUGGAAUUCCUGGUGUAGCGGUGAAAUGCGCAGAUAUCAGGAGGAACACCCGUGGCGAAAGCACUCUGCUGGGCCGACACUGACACUGAGAGACGAAAGCUAGGGGAGCGAAUGGG
rnacentral:rRNA from 1 species